AUGGCGGCUCUCGAGUUGGCCGUGUCAGCAUCAAGUGUGGUGCUGCCCGCCGCCGGCGGGCGCGCGGGGCCACCGCAGCUCUUAAGCCCCACCUGGGUGCCACCAACAUGCAGCCCACCGGCCUUACGACACAUGAUACCAGCAUCCCGUAUCUGUGGCGCGCACAUGGCACUAACGCCGGCGAGAGGCCCAUCUAACCCCCACGCAUCCCUCCCAUCCCUUGUAGCCCCUCCUCCACCUGCUAUUGAUGUCAGCAAGCUCGGCAUGGGCAACGCUCUGAGGCAUUCGACCAAAUGCCCGCAAGUGCCAAUUUUUCAUGAGCAUGAUGAGCGUCUCUGUGUGCAUAGACGACAUCAACUACUUGAUGCCAAAUUCUCAAGUACAAGAUGUCGUGGAGUUGUUUGGCACUCUGUUUGA
rnacentral:rRNA from 1 species